AUUGAACGCUGGCGGCAUGCCUUACACAUGCAAGUCGAACGGCAGCACGGAGCUUGCUCUGGUGGCGAGUGGCGAACGGGUGAGUAAUAUAUCGGAACGUACCCUAGAGUGGGGGAUAACGUAGCGAAAGUUACGCUAAUACCGCAUACGAUCUAAGGAUGAAAGUGGGGGAUCGCAAGACCUCAUGCUCGUGGAGCGGCCGAUAUCUGAUUAGCUAGUUGGUAGGGUAAAAGCCUACCAAGGCAUCGAUCAGUAGCUGGUCUGAGAGGACGACCAGCCACACUGGAACUGAGACACGGUCCAGACUCCUACGGGAGGCAGCAGUGGGGAAUUUUGGACAAUGGGCGAAAGCCUGAUCCAGCAAUGCCGCGUGAGUGAAGAAGGCCUUCGGGUUGUAAAGCUCUUUUGUCAGGGAAGAAACGGUGGGAGCUAAUAUCUCUUGCUAAUGACGGUACCUGAAGAAUAAGCACCGGCUAACUACGUGCCAGCAGCCGCGGUAAUACGUAGGGUGCAAGCGUUAAUCGGAAUUACUGGGCGUAAAGCGUGCGCAGGCGGUUUUGUAAGUCUGAUGUGAAAUCCCCGGGCUCAACCUGGGAAUUGCAUUGGAGACUGCAAGGCUAGAAUCUGGCAGAGGGGGGUAGAAUUCCACGUGUAGCAGUGAAAUGCGUAGAUAUGUGGAGGAACACCGAUGGCGAAGGCAGCCCCCUGGGUCAAGAUUGACGCUCAUGCACGAAAGCGUGGGGAGCAAACAGGAUUAGAUACCCUGGUAGUCCACGCCCUAAACGAUGUCUACUAGUUGUCGGGUCUUAAUUGACUUGGUAACGCAGCUAACGCGUGAAGUAGACCGCCUGGGGAGUACGGUCGCAAGAUUAAAACUCAAAGGAAUUGACGGGGACCCGCACAAGCGGUGGAUGAUGUGGAUUAAUUCGAUGCAACGCGAAAAACCUUACCUACCCUUGACAUGGCUGGAAUCCUUGAGAGAUCAGGGAGUGCUCGAAAGAGAACCAGUACACAGGUGCUGCAUGGCUGUCGUCAGCCCGUGUCGUGAGAUGUUGGGUUAAGUCCCGCAACGAGCGCAACCCUUGUCAUUAGUUGCUACGAAAGGGCACUCUAAUGAGACUGCCGGUGACAAACCGGAGGAAGGUGGGGAUGACGUCAAGUCCUCAUGGCCCUUAUGGGUAGGGCUCCACACGUCAUACAAUGGUACAUACAGAGCGCCGCCAACCCGCGAGGGGGAGCUAAUCGCAGAAAGUGUAUCGUAGUCCGGAUUGUAGUCUGCAACUCGACUGCAUGAAGUUGGAAUCGCUAGUAAUCGCGGAUCAGCAUGUCGCGGUGAAUACGUUCCCGGGUCU
rnacentral:rRNA from 1 species